UACGUAGGGUGCAAGCGUUAAUCGGAAUUACUGGGCGUAAAGCGUGCGCAGGCGGUUAUGUAAGACAGGUGUGAAAUCCCCGGGCUUAACCUGGGAACUGCAUUUGUGACUGCAUAGCUAGAGUACGGUAGAGGGGGAUGGAAUUCCGCGUGUAGCAGUGAAAUGCGCAGAUAUCAGGAAGAACACCCGUGGCUAAGGCGGUUCUCUAGUACGGUACUGACGCUGAGACGCGAAAGCGUGGGGAGCAAACAGG
rnacentral:rRNA from 1 species